AUGAUGAAGAAAUACAGAAAUCCAAGAGCCUGUGUAGGAUGUGGAAUGGUUCUUUCUUUUAAGACGGCAGAGAAAAUGAAAGCUCUGAUUCCUGGAGAUCAGUUGUUGUGUAAACCUUGUUCAAGGCUGACAAAACCAAAACAGGUUUGUGGGAUAUGCAAGAAGAUAUGGAGUCAUGGAUAGUCAGAGCUGGGUGCGUUGUG